rnacentral:rRNA from 1 species
AGUGAACGCUGGCGGUAGGCCUAACACAUGCAAGUCGAACGGCAGCACAGUAAGAGCUUGCUCUUACGGGUGGCGAGUGGCGGACGGGUGAGGAAUACAUCGGAAUCUACUUUUUCGUGGGGGAUAACGUAGGGAAACUUACGCUAAUACCGCAUACGACCUACGUGUGAAAGCAGGGGAUCUUCGGACCUUGCGCGAUUGAAUGAGCCGAUGUCGGAUUAGCUAGUUGGCGGGGUAAAGGCCCACCAAGGCGGCGAUCCGUAGCUGGUCUGAGAGGAUGGUCCGCCACCCGGGAACAGAGGAAGGGUCCAGACGCUGAGGGGAGGCAGCAGUGGGGAAUAUUGGACAAUGGGCGCAAGCCGGAUCCAGCGAUACCGCGGGGGUGAAGAAGGCGUUCGGGUUGUAAAGCCCUUUUGUUGGGAAAGAAAAGCAGCAGGUUAAUACCCCGCUGUUCUGACGGUACCCAAAGAAGAAGCACCGGCUAACUUCGUG